rnacentral:rRNA from 1 species
UGGGGAAUUUUGGACAUGGGCGCAAGCCUGAUCCAGCCAUGCCGCGUGCAGGAUGAAGGCCUUCGGGUUGUAAACUGCUUUUGUACGGAACGAAAAGGUGCCUUCUAAUAAAGGGCGCUCAUGACGGUACCGUAAGAAUAAGCACCGGCUAACUACGUGCCAGCAGCCGCGGUAAUACGUAGGGUGCGCGCGUUAAUCGGAAUUACUGGGCGUAAAGCGUGCGCAGGCGGUUUUGUAAGACAGAGGUGAAAUCCCCGGGCUCAACCUGGGAACUGCCUUUGUGACUGCAAGGCUGGAGUGCGGCAGAGGGGGAUGGAAUUCCGCGUGUAGCAGUGAAAUGCGUAGAUAUGCGGAGGAACACCGAUGGCGAAGGCAAUCCCCUGGGCCUGCACUGACGCUCAUGCACGAAAGCGUGGGGAGCAAACA